UUUUUCUUUUUCUGGUUUUGUCUGUGUUCCUUUUCACACCUGGUUUCAAGUGCUUUGAUUUCUGUGGGUAGAUAGGGCACCUGCUACCUGCCGUAAUUCGUGCAGGAUUAAGUUUGUGAGUAUUAGCGUUCAGUAUUCUAUGCGGUUUAUUGUUUUCGCAUUGACGCAUGUGUAGGUAGUGUCGGAACUGUGGUUGUUCCUCCGUGUACUGACACGAGUUUGUUUUCCUUCGAGCGAGUAGUUUGGACAUUCAUCUGGGCCAAUUUUGUAUUGGUGGACUAUGUGUACAGAUCUCUACAUUAAACACGCUUCUCAAAGAAAAUCCCUGCUCUCCUGCGCCUGACUCCUACACCUCUCACCGAGACGCACUUUAUCACAAAGGACACAUGGCAAAAUGCUUCUGCUGUUUCUGAGUCUCGGUUUGUUCACUUCUAAUGUCCAGUCAGAAAAACAAGGGGUUAAUGUAACGUGUGAAAAUCAAUCGGUUGUAGCAGGACAGAACCACAACCUGACAUGUAGAGUGGAAUACAGUGAUGUAGGUCAGAAUAAUCUGGGAUGUAAAACUACAAAUUAUUUCUGGAAACAUAAAUCAAAAUCUCCAAUACGAAAUUGUGAUUGUACAAAAGAUUGUAACACUACGAUAACAACCAACACCUACUUUUGUGAGAUCAAAAAUGUUACCAAAGCUGAUGAGGGAAACUACACUUUUACCAUUAACACAGACUGUGGCAACGGACAUGGCACAUUGAAUGUUUCAUUGAGAAAUGAAAAACAAGCGUUUCUGGGAUCAUCAGGUCACCUAUCGUCAGUAUCAUCACUGUUCUGGGUGUUCUACUGUUUCGCAUCUUAAGACUUAAUAGUUCCUUGAGAAACAAUGACAAAGCUACCAGAGAGGCCCUAAACCAGAAGCCUGCAUAACUUUCAGUCUGGAGGAGCUGUGUGUGUUCUACUAUCCUUGUGGGGACAGAAAUAUCUCAUUUACACAAGUAGUCAAACUCCUAAGUCAAUAAAUACUUUGUGGAAGCUCCUUUUGCAUUGAUUACAGCUGUGAGUCUGUCUGGGUACGUCUCUAAGUCAAUAAUUUGUAGAAGCUCCUUCUGCAUUGAUUACAGCUGUGAGUCUGUCUGGGUACGUCUCUAAGUCAAUAAUUUGUAGAAGCUCCUUCUGCAUUGAUUACAGCUGUGAGUCUGUCUGGGUACGUCUCUAAAAGCUUUCCACAUUUGGAUUGUUCAAAAUGUUCCCAUUAUUCUUUUCUAAAUUCUUCAAGCUCUGUCAAAUUGGCUGUUGAUCAUAGCUAGAGAACCAUUUUCAGAUCUUGCCAUAGAUUGACUGUCUUCUUGGCAACUCUAGUGUAAAUUUGGCCAUGGUUUAUUGUCCAGUUGAAAGGUGAAUUCAUCUCCCAGCAUCUAGUGUAUUGGAUUUGCCUAAAAAAUAACACUUUGUAUUCAGGACAAAAACUGAAUUACUUUGCCAUGUUUUUUGCAGUACUACAAUAGUGCCUUGUUUCAAACAUGAUGCAUGUUUUGGAAUAUUUUUAUUCUGUACAGGCUUCCUUUUCACUCUGUCAAUUAUUAUAAUUUAUUUACCUUUAUUUAACUAGACAGGUCAGUUAUGAACAAAUUCUUAUUUACAAUGACAGUCUACCGGGGAACACUGGCUUAACUGCCUUGUUCGGAUGUUUACGUUGUCAGCUCAGGGAUUCAAUCCAGGAACCUAUUGGUUAAUGGCACAACACUCUAACCACUAGGCAACCUGCCGCCCCAUCAAACUAGUCAAGGUUAGUAUUGUGGAGUAACUACAAUGUGUUUGAUCCAUCCUCAGUGUUCUCCUAUCACAGCCAUUAAACUCUGUAACUGUUUUAAAGUCACCAUUGGCCUCAUUGUGAAAUUCAUGAGCGGCUUCCUUCCUGUCUGACAACUGAGUUAGGAAGGACACCUGUAUCUUUGUAGUGACAGGAUGUAUUGAUACA